GAAGGGGAAGCCGAAAACCUUUUAAAGAGUAGGCA
rfam:Chryseobacterium bovis DSM 19482 genome assembly, contig: LX71DRAFT_scaffold00005.5